ACCUUUCAAAAAAUAGUAUUAUAUGAUAUAUUUACUAGUACAUAUAAAAUUAAACUAAUAAUUAUACAAAAAAUAAAGGUAAAUACAGAACGGUAUACCAAAACAUACUGGUAUUAAUAUGUAUCAGUAUCAAUAGAAAAACGGUACAUCUACCAUACGGUACUGACUACCUUUCUUAAACCACUUGUUGUAUUAGGAUUAAAGACAGUGUGUAACACCCCAAACCCGGCCCAGACGUUAUGACCGGAUCCGACAUGCCACAUCGAAGCGUUCAAAACAUUUUAUAUUGUUGAUCCAGAAAAAACUUACUUAGUGUUUUAAAAGAUAAUUUCAUUAUAGGUUAAAGUGAAUGGAAGUUGUGCACCAGGUAGGAAACCGGAAAAGAGGUGGUGAGUCCAUCGGACUGCUUAAGUACCAAGCUCCCUUCGGAUCCAAUCCUAGACAUGCAUACCGCUAUUGCCACACCUUAACGUCAUGGAUAUUUCUAGGAAACUGAUUUUGAUUAAGUCAUUUUUAGGAAAAGUGAUUAAUUUUGGAAAAUACUUUCAUUGCGGAAGCUUUGCUUGUUGUCGUAUUAUUUUGAAAUCAAUUGUUGUUUUUGAAAACGCGCCCUAAAGCUUUCCAACUUCAACAGUUAAAAUAAGUAAUACUUAUCUUAGUAACACAUAUUAACACCAUAAAAAAUAAUUAAGCGGCCUUAUUACAUUUAAAAACCUAAAACUUCAAACGUAAAAAAAAGGAUGUCCAGUUCACCAGAAGAAAAUCAAACUUUCAGAACGGGUGGCCACUCCGAAUUCCCUCACAGCUCCAAGCCCACUAUGGUUGGGGAUUACCUGCGUGGAUGAAAAUAAAAGGGGUGAGUUUGGGGAAACUCAGUGUGUAAGGAAAACCCAUUCAAAACCCAAGUCAGCUCAAGCCCAUUCAGGUAACAGUGAUACUGGGCCAGAGCCCUUUUCAAAUUACAAUAAACUGGGCCUUAGCCCCUUAUUCAGAUAACAGUAUGGCCCAUAGGCCCAUUUCAAAAUACAUGCAACAUCAGUAAACAUAUGCAAGCCCAUUUGGGGAGACUACUCAAUCCACCAACCACUACACUCCACCCAUACCAGCCAUACACUCCAUGUGGGGAAUAGCUCAACCCACCCAGCCCAACACUCCACAGUUGCAGCCUUGCUGCUCAGUUAACAGUAAGUUGAGGCAAAGCCCCUUAUUCAGAUAACAGUAUGGCCCAUAGGCCCAUUUCAAAAUACAUGCAACAUCAGUAAACAUAUGCAAGCCCAUUUGGGGAGACUACUCAACCCACCAACCACUACACUCCACCCAUACCAGCCAUACACUCCAUGUGGGGAAUAGCUCAACCCACCCAGCCCAACACUCCACAGUUGCAGCCUUGCUGCUCAGUUAACAGUAAAUUGAGGCAAAGCCUCCAGUACGUGGACAAGCCAUUUUUAGUACUUCCUCCGUCAAUAUCCCAAUCCCAUGCAUCAGAUAAUAACAACAUGGCAUGCAGUAAAUAACAACAGUCAAACAUGCAUUUAAGUCAAUUUAACCCUAGGGGUAUUUCGGUAAUUUAUCUCCUAGGGGUAAAACUGUAAAUUUUCCACUUUUAAAGGUAUUUCAGUAAUUUAUCUAUUUUAGGGUUUUUCAUGCAUAUUUCUACCUUUCACGUACUACAGAAUCACGUACCGAGGGUUCUUACCAAAUUGGGCCCGUUGGCCCAUCAUUCCAAUUUUGGCCCAUUAAGCCCAAAAAUAUCGAGGGCACAGAAAUCAUGCACUUUGUAGUCCAAAUUUUGCAGCUUACCAAAAACAUUAAUCGAUUUACCUCAGGAGCAUUCGCACACUCGCAAAUCUACAAAAUACCGGUUUUUGGCAUUUCAGCUUUUCGACUUUUGCCGAUCCAGACUAAGAAAGAGGGUGUUAGUUACACACCUGUUUGCGAUGAUAUGCUGACGAGAUCCACACACGAACUGCCUACAAUUGGAUUACUAACACGUUAAUCUAACUAUUCAAAUACGAACUACGUAUUAACCCCUUACAAUAUUCGGCCAACCACACCUACAGAUCAUAGUAAGCUUAUAAGAAAUCAAUAAGCAACUUAUUAACAAUUUUUUGUCAAUGUUUACCACAUAAUCAUAAUUUCACUGCAAGCUGUCUUCCUGAGCAACAGUUACUAAAUCAUUUAUAACUGGAGCUACGAAACUCCAAAUCAAGUGCCAUUAAUUUUCCCUGAAAAUAGACUCAUAUAUCUUAUAUCCAUAAAAUUUUCAGAAUUUUUGGUUUGGCCAAUCAAUACCAGAUUUUUCUUAAAGUUUCCCAUGUUUCACUAUUUGACUAAUCUGACCACUCUUCAUUACGAAUCAAAUUUCUCAUUGUACAGAAUUCAAAAUAUGUUCUAGUUUAUUUCAUUUGAAACUAGACUCAUUAAGCUUUAAUUACAUAAUUUAUUCACCGUCUAACUCAUCUCUCACAAUCUAUGGUGAUUUUCCAAAGUCACGUUACUGCUGCUGUCCCAAGCAGAUUUAUUACCAAAUCACUCUUUCACACAUAACUUGCAUGCAUGUUAUUUAAACAUGUAUAUCACCAAUCAAUCAUCACAUAUCUAUGAUUUUACUUAAGUAUAAUCUCCAUUUCAUCAUUUUAAAGCACAACAUGUUAGCCGAUUUUUCCCUUUAACAUUUAAGGCACAUGCAUGCUCAUUUGUUUGGCUCAACUUCACCUAUUUUCCAUUUUUCAUCAAAAGAACAUGAAACAACAACCAUUUCCUUCAUUUUAAUUCAUGACUAAAUGCUCACAACACAACUAAAAACCAAAAUAUGCUUCAAGAGUUAAGGUAGAAUCAAGAAGAACUCAUGAACAUCAAAUAGAAGCAAACUACCAUGAACUUACCUUUAAUUUUCUUCCCCAAGUGACCGAACAUUCAAGAGCUUUCUCCUCUCCUUUCUCUUCUCUAACUUUAGGCUAUGAUGAACAAAGAUGGACAAAACUUUGUUCUUUUCACCCCUUUUUCUUUUAAUAAAAUUUCAUAUUUCAUCCAUUUAAUUCUUUAAUAC
rnacentral:lncRNA from 1 species